rnacentral:rRNA from 1 species
UGCGUAGGCGGCGCGGAAAGUUGGGUGUGAAAUCCCUCGGCUCAACCGAGGAACUGCGCCCAAAACUACCGUGCUCGAGGGAGAUAGAGGUGAGCGGAACUUAGGGUGGAGCGGUGAAAUGCGUUGAUAUCCUAAGGAACACCGGUGGCGAAAGCGGCUCACUGGAUCUCUUCUGACGCUGAGGCACGAAAGCUAGGGUAGCGAACG